rnacentral:tRNA from 1 species
GGGCAGGUACCAGAGCGGCCAAAUGGGACUGGCUGUAAACCAGUUGGGAAACCUACGGGGGUUCGAAUCCCUCCCUGCCCACCA